rnacentral:rRNA from 1 species
AGUGAACGCUGGCGGCGUGCCUAAUACAUGCAAGUCGACGACUAUGGCGCACGGGUGAGUAAUGUAUAGCUAAUCUGCCCUACACUAGAGGACAACAGUUGGAAACGACUGCUAAUACUCUAUAGUGUAGGAUGAAGCUAUAUUGUAUUAGCUAGUUGGUGAGGUAAUGGCUCACAAAGGAAAUGACGCAUAACUGGUCUGAGAGGAUGAUCAGUCACCCUGGAACUGAGACACGGCCCAGACUCCUACGGGAGGCAGCAGUGGGGAAUCUUCGGCAAUGGGCGCAAGUCUGACCCAGCAAUGCCGCGUGAGUGAAGAAGGUUUUCGGAUCGUAAAACACUUUUGUUAGAGAAGCGGUAUCUAACCAGAAAGCCACGGCUAACUACGUGCCAGCAGCCGCGGUAAUAC